rnacentral:rRNA from 1 species
UACGGGGGGGGGCAAGCGUUGUUCGGAAUUACUGGGCGUAAAGAGCGCGUAGGCGGAAGCUUAAGUGUGGCCUGAAAGCCCCCGGCUCAACCGGGGAGGGUGGCUGCAAACUGGGCUUCUUGAGGUCGAUAGAGGAGAGCGGAAUUCCUGGUGUAGCGGUGAAAUGCGUAGAUAUCAGGAGGAACACCGGUGGCGAAGGCGGCUCUCUGGGUCGGACCUGACGCUGAGGCGCGGAAAGCGUGGGGAGCGAACGGG